rnacentral:lncRNA from 1 species
UGAGGUGGUGAAGAGUGGAGAGGCUCCCGGUUGGGGUAGAAUGAUGGAUGUCUCCACAAAGAAGGACCGCUUCGGAGUGGGUUACCAGCCUGGCAGAGGCUCAUCUGGACAAGGAAGAGGACGCCGUACGUCAGUCACCUUCACUAGUGCCGGAAUGCUGGAUCCGGAUCACAUCUGCAUGAUGAGUGAUGAAGCUGACAGC